UCUUACUCGGGGAGAUCUGGCCCGUGAGAGCGGUCCAGAAGUCAGCAGAGGCCGUAGUAGCGUUGAGGCCCGGUGAAAGUCGGGAGGAGUGAAGGGC
rnacentral:ncRNA from 1 species